rnacentral:rRNA from 1 species
CCUACGGGGGGCAGCAGUGAGGAAUAUUGGUCAAUGGACGAGAGUCUGAACCAGCCAAGUAGCGUGAAGGAUGACUGCCCUAUGGGUUGUAAACUUCUUUUAUAUGGGAAUAAAAUGUUCCACGUGUGGGAUUUUGUAUGUACCAUAUGAAUAAGGAUCGGCUAACUCCGUGCCAGCAGCCGCGGUAAUACGGAGGAUCCGAGCGUUAUCCGGAUUUAUUGGGUUUAAAGGGAGCGUAGGUGGAUUGUUAAGUCAGUUGUGAAAGUUUGCGGCUCAACCGUAAAAUUGCAGUUGAAACUGGCAGUCUUGAGUACAGUAGAGGUGCGAGGAAUUCGUGGUGUAGCGGUGAAAUGCUUAGAUAUCACGAAGAACUCAGAUUGCGAAGGCAGUUCACUGGACUGCAACUGACACUGAGGAUCGAAAGUGUGGGUAUCAAACAGGAUUAGAUACCCCAGUAGUC